GAUGAACGCUGGCGGCGUGCCUAAUACAUGCAAGUCGAGCGAAUGGAUUAAGAGCUUGCUCUUAUGAAGUUAGCGGCGGACGGGUGAGUAACACGUGGGUAACCUGCCCAUAAGACUGGGAUAACUCCGGGAAACCGGGGCUAAUACCGGAUAAUAUUUUGAACUGCAUGGUUCAAAAUUGAAAGGCGGCUUCGGCUGUCACUUAUGGAUGGACCCGCGUCGCAUUAGCUAGUUGGUGAGGUAACGGCUCACCAAGGCAACGAUGCGUAGCCGACCUGAGAGGGUGAUCGGCCACACGGGGACUGGAACACGGCCCAGACUCCUACGGGAGGCAGCAGUAGGGAAUCUUCCGCAAUGGACGAAAGUCUGACGGAGCAACGCCGCGUGAGUGAUGAAGGCUUUCGGGUCGUAAAACUCUGUUGUUAGGGAAGAACAAGUGCUAGUUGAAUAAGCUGGCACCUUGACGGUACCUAACCAGAAAGCCACGGCUAACUACGUGCCAGCAGCCGCAGUAA
rnacentral:rRNA from 1 species